rnacentral:rRNA from 1 species
AUUGAACGCUGGCGGCAGGCCUAACACAUGCAAGUCGAACGAGUGGCGGACGGGUGAGUAAUGUCUGGGAAACUGCCCGAUGGAGGGGGAUAACUACUGGAAACGGUAGCUAAUACCGCAUACCAUCGGAUGUGCCCAGAUGGGAUUAGCUAGUAGGUGGGGUAACGGCUCACCUAGGCGACGAUCCCUAGCUGGUUUGCGAGGAUGACCAGCCAUCCUGGAACUGGGACACGGUCCAGACUCCGACGAGAGGCAGCAGGGGGGAAUAUUGCACAAUGGGCGCAAGCCUGAUGCAGCCAUGCAGCGUGUAUGAAGAGGGCCUUCGGGUUGUAAAGUACUUGCAGCGAGGGGUCGUUACUCGCAGAAGAGGCACCGGCUAACUCCGUGCCAGCAGCCGCGGUAAUAC